AUUGAACGCUGGCGGCAUGCUCUACACAUGCAAGUCGAACGGUAACAGGGAGCUUGCUCCGCUGACGAGUGGCGAACGGGUGAGUAAUGCGUCGGAACGUGCCGAGUAGUGGGGGAUAACGCAGCGAAAGGUGUGCUAAUACCGCAUACGUACUGAGGUAGAAAGUGGGGGACCUUCGGGCCUCACGCUAUUCGAGCGGCCGACGUCUGAUUAGCUAGUUGGUGAGGUAAAGGCUCACCAAGGCGACGAUCAGUAGCGGGUCUGAGAGGAUGAUCCGCCACACUGGGACUGAGACACGGCCCAGACUCCUACGGGAGGCAGCAGUGGGGAAUUUUGGACAAUGGGCGCAAGCCUGAUCCAGCCAUGCCGCGUGUCUGAAGAAGGCCUUCGGGUUGUAAAGGACUUUUGUCCGGGAGCAAAUGCUGGUGGCUAACAUCCACCGGAGCUGAGAGUACCGGAAGAAUAAGCACCGGCUAACUACGUGCCAGCCGCCGCCGUAAUAC
rnacentral:rRNA from 1 species